rnacentral:lncRNA from 1 species
AAAUAGCUCAAUGUCUGAACGUACGAGCCAACUAGCUACUCGACUCAUUUAUCACCCUAAGAAAUAGAAUCAAUGGCAGAGCCAGGAUUCGACGAGGAGGUGCGAUUGCACGUGCUGGCUUCGACAGAACCUAUAGACGCCUCGUCGCAAUGGACAAAGAUUGAAACGUUGAAACACUGGUGCAGUCGGCCGGGAAGAAUGGGAGUGAUUUGGAAGAUGGACAAAAAUGAUUCGGGCAAUUUUUUUAAGUCGUGGGCCUUUUUCUUUUGGGCCUGUUGUUGAGAAAAAAUAUUAGGCCCAAUAACUCAAUCUAAUGGAUUGAAGAUGCAAAGCCUGUUUGCUUGCUGGUUUUAUUCACUUCACAAAUUACACACACAGUGUCACAGAUGUACUCGACACUUCAAACCCAAAAUCAAACAAUGCCUUCGAAUUCCAAACCCUAUUCUCCGCUGCUGGCACUCACCCUGAGCCACUGGCCACUGGAGCACUACACCACCACUGCAUCGCCAAUAAUUGAUUUCACUUGUGAUGGUGUGAAGUGAGCAGUGAGCUGCAACCUUUCUUCCAUUUUUUUUAUUUUUUGGGUUUUUGUUGUCCUAGUUUGUUUACCGAUUUAUUAUUAUGAAAUUAUGAGUUAUCAGUUAAAUUAAUCAGUUAUGAUUUAUGAUUAUGAAUUAUAAAUUUAGGAGUUUAUGUUUUGUGAGAAUUUACCAUGAGCCUGUCUAUGGCUUGUGAGUCGUAAGCUCGCUGUUAGUAUAUAUGAAAAUUGGGCAAUUUGUGAAUUUGAGAAUACGUGAUAUCAUAUAUGUGGACUAUGGAGUCUGUGAAAAUUGGAGAUUUUGGAAAUGGAAACUUUUAGUAUCCGUGGACUUAUGGAAUCUCUUAGUAUUUGUGAAAAUUGGUGAUUUUCGAAAUGGAAACUUGAUUAUAGUUAAUAUGUGAUUUACGUUUUAGUGCAU